rnacentral:rRNA from 1 species
CCUACGGGAGGCAGCAGUGGGGAAUUUUGGACAAUGGGCGCAAGCCUGAUCCAGCAAUGCCGCGUGAGUGAAGAAGGCCUUCGGGUUGUAAAGCUCUUUUGUCAGGGAAGAAACGGUGGGGGCUAAUAUCUCCUACUAAUGACGGUACCUGAAGAAUAAGCACCGGCUAACUACGUGCCAGCAGCCGCGGUAAUACGUAGGGUGCAAGCGUUAAUCGGAAUUACUGGGCGUAAAGCGUGCGCAGGCGGUUUUGUAAGUCUGUCGUGAAAGCCCCGGGCUCAACCUGGGAAUUGCGAUGGAGACUGCAAGGCUUGAAUCUGGCAGAGGGGGGUAGAAUUCCACGUGUAGCAGUGAAAUGCGUAGAGAUGUGGAGGAACACCGAUGGCGAAGGCAGCCCCCUGGGUCAAGAUUGACGCUCAUGCACGAAAGCGUGGGGAGCAAACAGGAUUAGAUACCCUGGUAGUCCACGCCCUAAACGAUGUCUACUAGUUGUCGGGUUUUAAUUAACUUGGUAACGCAGCUAACGCGUGAAGUAGACCGCCUGGGGAUACGGUCGCAAGNUUUAAAACCNGAAAGAUUGACGNUGAGACGNGCGAGACGACGACGAGGGAGAGG